CCCCUAGAUGUUCUGGGCCGCACGCGCGCUACACUGAACAGUUCAACAAGUCUUAACCUUGGCCGAUAGGUCUGGGUAAUCUUUGAACGCUGUUCGUGAUGGGGAUAGAACAUUGCAAUUAUUGUUCUUCAACGAGGAAUGCCUAGUAAGCGCGAGUCAUCAACUCGCGUUGAUUACGUCCCUGCCCUUUGUACACACCGCCCGUCGCUCCUACCGAUUGAACGUGCUGGUGAAGCGUUAGGACUGGCGCCACGUGUCGGGUCCCCCUUCAACGGGGCGCCGGGAAUUUCGUUGAACCCUNCNGUUUAUNGGAAGGAGAANUCGUANCA
rnacentral:rRNA from 1 species